rnacentral:rRNA from 1 species
UACGUAGGGGGCAAGCGUUGUCCGGAAUUAUUGGGCGUAAAGAGCGUGUAGGCGGUCCGGUAAGUCGGCUGUGAAAGUCCAGGGCUCAACCCUGGGAUGCCGGUCGAUACUGCCGGACUAGAGUUCGGAAGAGGCGAGUGGAAUUCCCGGUGUAGCGGUGAAAUGCGCAGAUAUCAGGAGGAACACCAAUGGCGAAGGCAGCACUCUGGGACGUGACUGACGCUGAGGCGCGAAAGCUAGGGGAGCAAACGGG